GAAGAGAAUUCCAGCUGCUGGAAUAUUCUGAAACCCAGAAGCUCCCACCUCACCUGGAUGUGGGAUUUUCAUCAUCCCAACAUCAUCCCUUCAACUUGGCUGGGCCAAAACUGAAUUUUCCCUGGAAAAAAAAAAAGAAAAAAAAAUCCUGGAUCUCAUUUUUACAGAUUUCUGAUACAUUUUAAAGGUGUUUUUUUUUUUUGUUUUAUUUUUUUGGGGGUUUUUUUUGUUUUUUUUUUUAAAGCCACAAGUUUUGGUAUUUCGCACCUGCAUCCAGAGGUUUUGAUGGAAAAUGGAUCAUUUGAAUCAGGCAGGUCCAAAAAAAAUUUUGGGAAUUUGUGGAAAAAAAAAAUGGUGGAAAUUUGUGGAAGGUGGGGUUUGGGCAGCACCGGAAUUUGACGGAUUUGGCCUCAUUUUGGUCUCAGGGAGGAAGGUGAGAGGUUGGACUCUGAUCCUGAGGAUUUUCGGGCAUGAAAAUCAGAAUUUGAGGCCAAAAUCAAUGCUUGGGGCCAGGUAUUCCCAAAAAUCUUUGUGUCCUGGAUGUUGUUUUUUUUUUAGGGCAAAAUUCCCAAUUUUGCUUUGGGAUAGGCGGACUCUGACCCUCUGCUGUUCCCUUUUAAUUCUCAUUUCCCAAAUCCUCAAAAUCUCGAAGGAUUUUUAUGGAUAUUCCGCGGAGCAGCUUCGUUUUCAGCUCAGAAAUGUGGGAAUAACCAAGUGGGAUUUGUGGGAUUCCUCCUUCUCCAAACUCUUCACGUCUUGGAUGGAGCAGAUUUCUUGGAACAACAAUUCCUUCAUCCUCAAUCCCUUCCCAUCUGGAAUGAAGUGGAUUUGAAACAUUCCCAGCACAAGGGAUGGGAUUUAUCCUUAUUUUUAUCCACUUUUGUUCCCUAAAUCCACUCAAAGUUGGUGUUGAUGCCUCCUUGGACCUGGAAUUUGUGAAAUCCUUGGGAUUUUCUGUUUUCCAUGAAGAUUGGACACUUUGUUCCAUCACCUUCUGCUUCCAGGAUUUCUUGGUGGUGAUCCAUGAGCGCAAGGAGGUUGGGAUGGAAUUAGGGAAGGUGGGAACGGAGGAGUUCAGAUGGAAUUUUUUCUUCUCACCAGGAUUUAUGGGAAGGGAUUCUGGAAUUUUAGGGGAAGGAUUUCUUUGGAUUCCAGGAAAAAAAUCGGGGCUGUUCCAUCCUUGGAAUGUCCAAAUCCAGGUUGGGUGGGGCUUGGAGCAACCUGGGAUCAUCUUUGGGUUCCUUUCCAACCCAACCAUUCCAUGGACAGUGGAAUAUUCCCGAAGAGUGGGAAGAGUUAGGAAUGAGGCAAAAAGGAGGAAAAUCCAUAAAUCCAGAAGAUUUUGAAUUCUGUGGACACUAAAAUAUUCCCAAAGAGUGGGAAGGGCCAAGAAUGAGGCAAAAAGGAGGAAAAUCCAUAAAUCCAAAAAAUUUUGGGUUCUGUGGACACGGAAUAUUCCCAAAGAGUGGGAAGGGCCAGGAAUGAGGCAAAAAAGAGGAAAAUCCAUAAAUCCAGAAGAUUUUGGAUUCUGUGGACAGUGGAAUAUUCCUAAAGAGUGGGAAGAGUUAGGAAUGAGAAAAAUCCAUAAAUGCAGAAGAUUUUUGGUUCUGUGGAUAUUAGAAUAUUCCUAAAGAGUGGGAAAAGUUAGAAAUGAGGCAAAAAGGAGGAAAAUCUAUAAAUCCAGAGGGUUUUGGGUUCUGUGGACAGUGGAAUAUUCCUGAAGAGUGGGAAGAGUUAGAAAGGAGGAAAAUCCAUAAAUCCAAAAAAUUUUGGGUUCUGUGGAUAUUAGAAUAUUCUUAAAGAGUGGGAGAGUUAGGAAUGAGGCAAAAGGAGGAAAAUCCAUAAAUCCAGAUGGUUUUGGAUUCUGUGGACAUGGAAUGUUCCCUAAGAGUGGGAAGAGUUAGGAAUGAGGCAAAAAUGAGGAAAAUCCAUAAAUCCAGAAGAUUUUGGGUUCUGUGGACAGUGGAAUAUUCCCAAAGAGUAGGAAGAGUUAGAAAUGAGGCAAAAAGGAGGAAAAUCCAUAAAUCCAAAAAAUUUUGGAUUUUGUGGACAUGGAAAAUUCCCAAAGAGUGGGAAGAGUUAGAAAGGAGGAAAAUCCAUAAAUCCAGAAGAUUUUUGGUUCUGUGGACACUAAAAUAUUCCCAAAGAGUGGGAAUGUUAGAAAUGAGGCAAAAAGGAGGAAAAUCCAUAAAUCCAGAGGGUUUUGGAUUCUGUGGACAGUGGAAUAUUCCCAAAGAGUGGGAAAGGCCAAGAAUGAGGCAAAAAGGAGGAAAAUCCAUAAAUCCAAAAAAUUUUGGGUUCUGUGGACAGUGGAAUAUUCCCAAAGAGUGGGAAGGGUUGGAAAGGAGGAAAAUCCAUAAAUCCAAAAAAUUUUGGGGUCUGUGGACAUGGAAUAUUCCCAAAGAGUGGGAAUGUUAGAAAUGAGGCAAAAAGGAGGAAAAUCCAUAAAUCCAGAUGGUUUUGGAUUCUGUGGACUGUGGAAUAUUCUCAGAGUGGGAAAGGGCCAGGAAUGAGGCAAAAAGGAGGAAAAUCCAUAAAUCCAGAAGGUUUUGGGUUCUGUGGGCAGUGGAAUAUUCCCAAAGAGUGGGAAGAGUUAGAAAUGAGGAAAAUCCAUAAAUCCAGAAGGUUUUGGGUUCUGUGGAUAUUAGAAUAUUCCUAAAGAGUGGGAGAGUUAGGAAUGAGGCAAAAGGAGGAAAAUCCAUAAAUCCAGAAGAUUUUGGAUUCUGUGGACAUGGAAUAUUCCCAAAGAGUGGGAAGAAUUAGAAAUGAGGCAAAAAGGAGGAAAAUCCAUAAAUCCAAAAAAUUUUGGGGUCUGUGGACAUGGAAUAUUCCCAAAGAGUGGGAAGGGCCAGGAAUGAGGCAAAAAGGAGGAAAAUCCAUAAAUCCAGAGGAUUUUGGGUUCUGUGGACACCAGAAUAUUCCCAAAAAGUAGGAAGAGUUAGGAAUGAGGAAAAUCCAUAAAUCCAGAAGGUUUUGGGUUCUGUGGACAGUGGAAUAUUCCCUAAGAGUAGGAAGAGUUAGAAAGGAGGAAAAUCCAUAAAUCCAAAAAAUUUUGGGUUCUCUGGACAGUGGAAUAUUCCCAAAGAGUGGGAAGAGUUGGAAAGGAGGAAAAUCUAUAAAUCCAGAGGGUUUUGGAUUCUGUGGACAGUGGAAUGUUCCCAAAAGUGGGAAGGGCCAGGAAUGAGGCAAAAAGGAAGAAAA